UUCGUAUGUUCCUGGAGGCCUUAGAGGGAGUUCAAUCUGUCAUCCCGAAGGACAAGUUUCUGGCUAUCACCAGUGCCGUGUUCUACCAGCUCUCUGAUGACACCAGGCAGCACAGCGAGGCUGAUAAUACAGAGCUGACCCACUGCAUGAUGCUGCAGGCCCGAAUCUGCCCAGA